GGUCGACGAUUAACGCGAAGAACCUUACCUAGACUUGACAUCUCCUGAAUUACCCUUAACCGGGGAAGCCCUUCGGGGCAGGAAGACAGGUGGUGCAUGGUUGUCGUCAGCUCGUGUCGUGAGAUGUUGGGUUAAGUCCCGCAACGAGCGCAACCCUUAUCAUUAGUUGCUACCAUUAAGUUGAGCACUCUAGUGAGACUGCCACGGUUAACGUGGAGGAAGGUGGGGAUGACGUCAAAUCAUCAUGCCCCUUAUGUCUAGGGCUACACACGUGCUACAAUGGUGAAUACAAAGAGAUGCAAUACCGCGAGGUGGAGCCAAACUCAAAAAUUCAUCCCAGUUCGGAUUGUAGGCUGAAACUCGCCUACAUGAAGCCGGAGUUGCUAGUAAUCGCGAAUCAGCAUGUCGCGGUGAAUACGUUCCCGGGUCUUGUACACACCG
rnacentral:rRNA from 1 species